rnacentral:lncRNA from 1 species
AGCUUUUUCUUCCAGUCAGCAUUAGGGUUUUAAACCCUAAACUGAACUUUUUUCCAUUCAGCCAGCAUUAGGGUUUUAAACCUUAAACUGAUCUUUUCCAUGCAAUCAGCAUUAGGGUUUUAAACCCUAAACUGAAUUUUUCCUUUAGUCAGCAUUAGGGUUUUAAACCCUAAACUGAACUUUUUUCCAUUCAGUCAGCAUUAGGGUUUUAAACCCUAAACUGAACUUUUUCCAUGCAAUCAGCAUUAGGGUUUUAAACCCCUAAACUAAAUUUUUCUUUUAGUCAGCAUUAGGGUUUUAAACCCUAAACUGAUUUUUCCAUUCAGCCAGCAUUAGG